rnacentral:rRNA from 1 species
AGCGAACGCUGGCGGUAGGCCUAACACAUGCAAGUCGAACGGCAGCACCGUAAGAGCUUGCUCUUACGGGUGGCGAGUGGCGGACGGGUGAGGAAUACAUCGGAAUCUACUUUUUCGUGGGGGAUAACGUAGGGAAACUUACGCUAAUACCGCAUACGACCUACGGGUGAAAGCAGGGGAUCUUCGGACCUUGCGCGAUUGAAUGAGCCGAUGUCGGAUUAGCUAGUUGGCGGGGUAAAGGCCCACCAAGGCGACGAUCCGUAGCUGGUCUGAGAGGAUGAUCAGCCACACUGGAACUGAGACACGGUCCAGACUCCGACGGGAGGCAGCAGUGGGGAAUAUUGGACAAUGGGCGCAAGCCUGAUCCAGCCAUACCGCGUGGGUGAAGAAGGCCUUCGGGUUGUAAAGCCCUUUUGUUGGGAAAGAAAAGCAGCAGGUUAAUACCCCGCUGUUCUGACGGUACCCAAAGAAUAAGCACCGGCUAACUUCGUG